CAACCCUGUGAACAUACCUAUAACGUUGCCUCGGCGGGAACAGACGGCCCCGUAACACGGGCCGCCCCCGCCAGAGGACCCCCUAACUCUGUUUCUAUAAUGUUUCUUCUGAGUAAACAAGCAAAUAAAUUAAAACUUUCAACAACGGAUCUCUUGGCUCUGGCAUCGAUGAAGAACGCAGCGAAAUGCGAUAAGUAAUGGGAAUUGCAGAAUUCAGUGAAUCAUCGAAUCUUUGAACGCACAUUGCGCCCGCCAGUAUUCUGGCGGGCAUGCCUGUUCGAGCGUCAUUACAACCCUCAGGCCCCCGGGCCUGGCGUUGGGGAUCGGCGGAAGCCCCCUGCGGGCACAACGCCGUCCCCCAAAUACAGUGGCGGUCCCGCCGCAGCUUCCAUUGCGUAGUAGCUAACACCUCGCAACUGGAGAGCGGCGCGGCCACGCCGUAAAACACCCAACUUCUGAAUGUUGACCUCGAAUCAGGUAGGAAUACCCGCUGAACUUAAGCAUAUCA
rnacentral:rRNA from 1 species